GGGUUGUGAGGUUAAGCGACUAAGCGUACACGGUGGAUGCCCUGGCAGUCAGAGGCGAUGAAGGACGUGCUAAUCUGCGAUAAGCGUCGGUAAGGUGAUAUGAACCGUUAUAACCGGCGAUUUCCGAAUGGGGAAACCCAGUGUGUUUCGACACACUAUCAUUAACUGAAUCCAUAGGUUAAUGAGGCGAACCGGGGGAACUGAAACAUCUAAGUACCCCGAGGAAAAGAAAUCAACCGAGAUUCCCCCAGUAGCGGCGAGCGAACGGGGAGCAGCCCAGAGCCUGAAUCAGUGUGUGUGUUAGUGGAAGCGUCUGGAAAGGCGCGCGAUACAGGGUGACAGCCCCGUACACAAAAAUGCACAUACUGUGAGCUCGAUGAGUAGGGCGGGACACGUGGUAUCCUGUCUGAAUAUGGGGGGACCAUCCUCCAAGGCUAAAUACUCCUGACUGACCGAUAGUGAACCAGUACCGUGAGGGAAAGGCGAAAAGAACCCCGGCGAGGGGAGUGAAAAAGAACCUGAAACCGUGUACGUACAAGCAGUGGGAGCACGCUUAGGCGUGUGACUGCGUACCUUUUGUAUAAUGGGUCAGCGACUUAUAUUCUGUAGCAAGGUUAACCGAAUAGGGGAGCCGAAGGGAAACCGAGUCUUAACUGGGCGUUAAGUUGCAGGGUAUAGACCCGAAACCCGGUGAUCUAGCCAUGGGCAGGUUGAAGGUUGGGUAACACUAACUGGAGGACCGAACCGACUAAUGUUGAAAAAUUAGCGGAUGACUUGUGGCUGGGGGUGAAAGGCCAAUCAAACCGGGAGAUAGCUGGUUCUCCCCGAAAGCUAUUUAGGUAGCGCCUCGUGAAUUCAUCUCCGGGGGUAGAGCACUGUUUCGGCAAGGGGGUCAUCCCGACUUACCAACCCGAUGCAAACUGCGAAUACCGGAGAAUGUUAUCACGGGAGACACACGGCGGGUGCUAACGUCCGUCGUGAAGAGGGAAACAACCCAGACCGCCAGCUAAGGUCCCAAAGUCAUGGUUAAGUGGGAAACGAUGUGGGAAGGCCCAGACAGCCAGGAUGUUGGCUUAGAAGCAGCCAUCAUUUAAAGAAAGCGUAAUAGCUCACUGGUCGAGUCGGCCUGCGCGGAAGAUGUAACGGGGCUAAACCAUGCACCGAAGCUGCGGCAGCGACGCUUAUGCGUUGUUGGGUAGGGGAGCGUUCUGUAAGCCUGCGAAGGUGUGCUGUGAGGCAUGCUGGAGGUAUCAGAAGUGCGAAUGCUGACAUAAGUAACGAUAAAGCGGGUGAAAAGCCCGCUCGCCGGAAGACCAAGGGUUCCUGUCCAACGUUAAUCGGGGCAGGGUGAGUCGACCCCUAAGGCGAGGCCGAAAGGCGUAGUCGAUGGGAAACAGGUUAAUAUUCCUGUACUUGGUGUUACUGCGAAGGGGGGACGGAGAAGGCUAUGUUGGCCGGGCGACGGUUGUCCCGGUUUAAGCGUGUAGGCUGGUUUUCCAGGCAAAUCCGGAAAAUCAAGGCUGAGGCGUGAUGACGAGGCACUACGGUGCUGAAGCAACAAAUGCCCUGCUUCCAGGAAAAGCCUCUAAGCAUCAGGUAACAUCAAAUCGUACCCCAAACCGACACAGGUGGUCAGGUAGAGAAUACCAAGGCGCUUGAGAGAACUCGGGUGAAGGAACUAGGCAAAAUGGUGCCGUAACUUCGGGAGAAGGCACGCUGAUAUGUAGGUGAGGUCCCUCGCGGAUGGAGCUGAAAUCAGUCGAAGAUACCAGCUGGCUGCAACUGUUUAUUAAAAACACAGCACUGUGCAAACACGAAAGUGGACGUAUACGGUGUGACGCCUGCCCGGUGCCGGAAGGUUAAUUGAUGGGGUUAGCGCAAGCGAAGCUCUUGAUCGAAGCCCCGGUAAACGGCGGCCGUAACUAUAACGGUCCUAAGGUAGCGAAAUUCCUUGUCGGGUAAGUUCCGACCUGCACGAAUGGCGUAAUGAUGGCCAGGCUGUCUCCACCCGAGACUCAGUGAAAUUGAACUCGCUGUGAAGAUGCAGUGUACCCGCGGCAAGACGGAAAGACCCCGUGAACCUUUACUAUAGCUUGACACUGAACAUUGAGCCUUGAUGUGUAGGAUAGGUGGGAGGCUU
rnacentral:rRNA from 1 species